rnacentral:rRNA from 1 species
GACGAACGCUGGCGGCGUGCUUAACACAUGCCAGUCGAACGGAAAGGCCCCUUUGGGGGUACUCGAGUGGCGAACGGGUGAGUAACACGUGAGUAACCUGCCCUUGACUUCGGGAUAACUUCAGGAAACUGGGGCUAAUACCGGAUAGGAAUCCUUGCUGCAUGGUGGGGGUUGGAAAGCUUCGGCGGUUUUGGAUGGACUCGCGGCUUAUCCGCUUGUUGGUGGGGUAGUGGCUUACCAAGGCUUUGACGGGUAGCCGGCCUGCGAGGGCGACCGGCCACAUAGGGACUGAGAUACGGCCCAGACUCCUACGGGAGGCAGCAGUGGGGAAUAUUGCACAAUGGGCGGAAGCCUGAUGCAGCAACGCCGCGUGCGGGAUGACGGCCUUCGGGUUGUAAACCGCUUUCAGCAGGGGCGAAGCUUGUGGUGACGGUACCUGCAGAAGAAGCACCGGCUAACUACGUG